rnacentral:rRNA from 1 species
UGGGGAAUAUUGGACAAUGGGCGCAAGCCUGAUCCAGCCAUGCCGCGUGAGUGAAGAAGGCCUUCGGGUUGUAAAGCUCUUUUGUCCGGAAAGAAAAGCACUUGAUUAAUACUCAGGUGUCCUGACGGUACCGGAAGAAUAAGCACCGGCUAACUUCGUGCCAGCAGCCGCGGUAAUACGAAGGGUGCAAGCGUUACUCGGAAUUACUGGGCGUAAAGCGUGCGUAGGUGGUCUGUUAAGUCUGAUGUGAAAGCCCUGGGCUCAACCUGGGAACUGCAUUGGAUACUGGCAGUCUGGAGUGCGGUAGAGGGUGGCGGAAUUCCCGGUGUAGCAGUGAAAUGCGUAGAUAUCGGGAGGAACAUCCGUGGCGAAGGCGGCCACCUGGACCAGCACUGACACU